AUAUCAAUAAGCGGAGGAAAAGAAACUAACCAGGAUUCCAUAGUAGCGGCGAGCGAAAUGGGAAGAGCCCAGCUUGAAAAUCUCCGGCUUCUGGCCGGCGAAUUGUAGUCUAGAGAAGUGUUCUCUGUGGCCCACCGUGCCCAAGUUUCCAGGAAGGGAGCGUCAGAGAGGGUGAGAACCCCGUCGGCUACGGUUGCGGCUGCCUCACGAGAUGCUUUCGCAGAGUCGGGUUGCUUGGGAAUGCAGCCCGAAGUAGGUGGUAAAUCCCAUCUAAGGCUAAAUAUGGACGGGAGACCGAUAGCGCACAAGUA
rnacentral:rRNA from 1 species